CUAAGGUUCGAUUCGAGCGUCAGCGAGAAAGCGUUGCCGCAGGCAACGACCCGAAGGGCGAAACGCGCAGCGCUGAGUCAUCCUUCCCCCACCACCA
rnacentral:sRNA from 1 species